rnacentral:rRNA from 1 species
CNNUNCNAAGAUAGCCAGCANGUCUAGUACAUGCCGUAUUAAGGCGAAACCGCGAAUGGCUCAUUAAAUCAGUUAUGGUUCCUUGGAUCGUACCUUACUACUUGGAUAACUGUGGCAAUUCUAGAGCUAAUACAUGCAGCAGAGCUCCGACCUUCGGGGACGAGCGCUUUUAUUAGACCAAAACCAAUCGGGCCUCGUGUCCGUUCUACGUGGUGACUCUGUAUAACUUUGGGCUGAUCGCACGGGCUCGUCCCGGCGACGUAUCUUUCAAGUGUCUGCCUUAUCAACUGUCGAUGGUAGGUUACGCGCCUACCAUGGUCGUAACGGGUAACGGGGAAUCAGGGUUCGAUUCCGGAGAGGGAGCCUGAGAAACGGCUACCACAUCCAAGGAAGGCAGCAGGCGCGCAAAUUACCCACUCCCGGCUCGGGGAGGUAGUGACGAAAAAUAACAAUACGGGACUCUUUUGAGACCCCGUAAUUGGAAUGAGUACACUCUAAAUCCUUUAACGAGGAUCCAUUGGAGGGAAAGUCUGGUGCCAGCCGCCGCGGUAACUCCAGCUCCAAUAGCGUAUAUUAAAGUUGUUGCGGUUAAAAAGCUCGUAGUUGGAUCUCAGUUCCAGACGGGUGGUCCGCCUACCGGUGGUCACUGCCCGGUCUGAGCAUUGCCGCCGAAAUUGUCCGAUGAUCUUUACCGGUUGUCGUUCGGUUUCGGCAAUUUUACUUUGAAAAAAUUAGAGUGCUCAAAGCAUGCGUGACGCAUGAAUAAUGGUGCAUGGAAUAAUGGAAUAGGACCUCGGUUCUAUUUUGUUGGUUUUCGGAACACGAGGUAAUGAUUAAGAGGGACAGACGGGGGCAUUCGUAUUGCGACGCUAGAGGUGAAAUUCUUGGACCGUCGCAAGACGANUANGAGANUUUUU